rnacentral:misc_RNA from 1 species
CACCUACCGAUUGAAUGGUUCGGUGAAAAUCUUGGACUGCGGCUUGGAUGCUUCGGGCAACCUUGCUGUGGAAAGUUGUUU